rnacentral:rRNA from 1 species
GAUGAACGCUGGCUACAGGCUUAACACAUGCAAGUCGAGGGGAAACGACGGGGAAGCUUGCUUCCCCGGGCGUCGACCGGCGCACGGGUGAGUAACGCGUAUCCAACCUGCCUCUGACUGAGGGAUAACCCGUCGAAAGUCGGCCUAAUACCUCAUGGCAUCGUCUGCGGGCAUCCAACGACGAUUAAAGAUUUCAUCGGUCAGAGAUGGGGAUGCGUCUGAUUAGCUUGUUGGCGGGGUAACGGCCCGCCAAGGCGACGAUCAGUAGGGGUUCUGAGAGGAAGGUCCCCCACAUUGGAACUGAGACACGGUCCAAACUCCUACGGGAGGCAGCAGUGAGGAAUAUUGGUCAAUGGGCGAGAGCCUGAACCAGCCAAGUAGCGUGCAGGAUGACGGCCCUAUGGGUUGUAAACUGCUUUUAUGCGGGGAUAAAGUGAGGGACGUGUCCUUCAUUGCAGGUACCGCAUGAAUAAGGACCGGCUAAUUCCGUG